rnacentral:rRNA from 1 species
GGGGCCAUCGCUCAACGGAUAAAAGCUACCCCGGGGAUAACAGGCUUAUCUCCCCCAAGAGUUCACAUCGACGGGGAGGUUUGGCACCUCGAUGUCGGCUCAUCGCAUCCUGGGGCUGUAGUCGGUCCCAAGGGUUGGGCUGUUCGCCCAUUAAAGCGGUACGCGAGCUGGGUUCAGAACGUCGUGAGACAGUUCGGUCCCUAUCCGUCGUGGGCGUAGGAAAUUUGAGAGGAGCUGUCCUUAGUACGAGAGGACCGGGAUGGACAUACCUCUGGUGUACCAGUUGUCGUGCCAACGGCAUAGCUGGGUAGCUAUGUGUGGACGGGAUAAGUGCUGAAAGCAUCUAAGCAUGAAGCCCCCCUCAAGAUGAGAUUUCCCAACUUCGGUUAUAAGAUCCCUCAAAGAUGAUGAGGUUAAUAGGUUCGAGGUGGAAGCAUGGUGACAUGUGGAGCUGACGAAUACUAAUCGAUCGAAGACUUAAUCAA